GGCUGAGGCUCUGCUGCCGCUGCUCCUGGCUUCCUCCCCUCACACGAACAUCACUGCCCAGGACAGGUCGCCUUCUGCCUGCCCAGGUUCAGGAUACCAGUAGCUCUGCAUCCCAGCUUCCAGGCUGCUCUUCAGGGCUAGGCAGGUACUGACAUCCCCAGCGGAUCCAUCCACUGGUGCCAGGGAAGAGAAGAAUGAUGCAAUAAAACCUUAGAUAAAGCCCCCGGGCUGUGCCCUCCUCCAUUGCCAAGCCCAGCUCUGCCUUAGCCCACACCUGGGGUCCGCCCACCGCCCACGCAAAUCUGUCUUGGCAGGAGUUGUUGUUGUUGUUGUCGUUGUUGUUGUUGUUGUUGUUGUAGUGGUGUGUGUCUUUGGCGAGGACAGGGCGAGUUUGUCAGGAGGCAGCUUAGGGAAGUCUCCUGUGGAGACAGAGGAAGUGUUGGUGGCGGAGGCCGUUGUUGCAGGAGCCUUGAGGUAGAUGUUUGCUGCAGCCCUUGUGCAGGAGGAGCAGGUGGCUCUGUGAAGGCUUUGUUGUGUGAGCUUGUGUCAGGGGAGAACAGGGAAGCGUUGUGGUGUUGGAGGCUUCUUGGCAGGUAGUUGUUGUUGGACGUGGUCAGGUGCAGGGCAGAGGCUGCAGCUGGCUUUGCCUGGGCGGUGUGGCGCAAAGGGUGCCAAGAGCGGAUAAGGAGUGGGCUUUUCUGGAGGGCACUUAAAGCUAGGGAUCAAUCUGGCCACCACAGGCACGUUCCCUGGCCCUUUACGGGGUGUCCAGCAGCAGGGGCUGGUCACGAAGGAGAAAGCCUGGGAGCAGAAGACGGCGGGGAGGAGAAGAUGAGGACGUCGGGGGACCUGCCAGCGGAGGCUGAAGAAGGCGAAGAAUGGCUCAGGACACCAGGCGUCCUGCACCCGCGCUCCCAGGCUCCUGUUCAACGCUGGGGGAGGUUCUGACAUCCCCAGCGGAUCCAUCCACUGGUGCCAGGGAAGAGAAGAAUGAUGCAAUAAAACCUUAGAUAAAGCCCCCGGGCUGUGCCCUCCUCCAUUGCCAAGCCCAGCUCUGCCUUAGCCCACACCUGGGGUCCGCCCACCGCCCACGCAAAUCUGUCUUGGCAGGAGUUGUUGUUGUUGUCGUUGUUGUUGUUGUUGUAGUGGUGUGUGUCUUUGGCGAGGACAGGGCGAGUUUGUCAGGAGGCAGCUUAGGGAAGUCUCCUGUGGAGACAGAGGAAGUGUUGGUGGCGGAGGCCGUUGUUGCAGGAGCCUUGAGGUAGAUGUUUGCUGCAGCCCUUGUGCAGGAGGAGCAGGUGGCUCUGUGAAGGCUUUGUUGUGUGAGCUUGUGUCAGGGGAGAACAGGGAAGCGUUGUGGUGUUGGAGGCUUCUUGGCAGGUAGUUGUUGUUGGACGUGGUCAGGUGCAGGGCAGAGGCUGCAGCUGGCUUUGCCUGGGCGGUGUGGCGCAAAGGGUGCCAAGAGCGGAUAAGGAGUGGGCUUUUCUGGAGGGCACUUAAAGCUAGGGAUCAAUCUGGCCACCACAGGCACGUUCCCUGGCCCUUUACGGGGUGUCCAGCAGCAGGGGCUGGUCACGAAGGAGAAAGCCUGGGAGCAGAAGACGGCGGGGAGGAGAAGAUGAGGACGUCGGGGGACCUGCCAGCGGAGGCUGAAGAAGGCGAAGAAUGGCUCAGGACACCAGGCGUCCUGCACCCGCGCUCCCAGGCUCCUGUUCAACGCUGGGGGAGGUUCUGACAUCCCCAGCGGAUCCAUCCACUGGUGCCAGGGAAGAGAAGAAUGAUGCAAUAAAACCUUAGAUAAAGCCCCCGGGCUGUGCCCUCCUCCAUUGCCAAGCCCAGCUCUGCCUUAGCCCACACCUGGGGUCCGCCCACCGCCCACGCAAAUCUGUCUUGGCAGGAGUUGUUGUUGUCGUUGUCGUUGUUGUUGUUGUUGUAGUGGUGUGUGUCUUUGGCGAGGACAGGGCGAGUUUGUCAGGAGGCAGCUUAGGGAAGUCUCCUGUGGAGACAGAGGAAGUGUUGGUGGCGGAGGCCGUUGUUGCAGGAGCCUUGAGGUAGAUGUUUGCUGCAGCCCUUGUGCAGGAGGAGCAGGUGGCUCUGUGAAGGCUUUGUUGUGUGAGCUUGUGUCAGGGGAGAACAGGGAAGCGUUGUGGUGUUGGAGGCUUCUUGGCAGGUAGUUGUUGUUGGACGUGGUCAGGUGCAGGGCAGAGGCUGCAGCUGGCUUUGCCUGGGCGGUGUGGCGCAAAGGGUGCCAAGAGCGGAUAAGGAGUGGGCUUUUCUGGAGGGCACUUAAAGCUAGGGAUCAAUCUGGCCACCACAGGCACGUUCCCUGGCCCUUUACGGGGUGUCCAGCAGCAGGGGCUGGUCACGAAGGAGAAAGCCUGGGAGCAGAAGACGGCGGGGAGGAGAAGAUGAGGACGUCGGGGGACCUGCCAGCGGAGGCUGAAGAAGGCGAAGAAUGGCUCAGGACACCAGGCGUCCUGCACCCGCGCUCCCAGGCUCCUGUUCAACGCUGGGGGAGGUUCUGACAUCCCCAGCGGAUCCAUCCACUGGUGCCAGGGAAGAGAAGAAUGAUGCAAUAAAACCUUAGAUAAAGCCCCCGGGCUGUGCCCUCCUCCAUUGCCAAGCCCAGCUCUGCCUUAGCCCACACCUGGGGUCCGCCCACCGCCCACGCAAAUCUGUCUUGGCAGGAGUUGUUGUUGUUGUUGUUGUUGUUGUUGUAGUGGUGUGUGUCUUUGGCGAGGACAGGGCGAGUUUGUCAGGAGGCAGCUUAGGGAAGUCUCCUGUGGAGACAGAGGAAGUGUUGGUGGCGGAGGCCGUUGUUGCAGGAGCCUUGAGGUAGAUGUUUGCUGCAGCCCUUGUGCAGGAGGAGCAGGUGGCUCUGUGAAGGCUUUGUUGUGUGAGCUUGUGUCAGGGGAGAACAGGGAAGCGUUGUGGUGUUGGAGGCUUCUUGGCAGGUAGUUGUUGUUGGACGUGGUCAGGUGCAGGGCAGAGGCUGCAGCUGGCUUUGCCUGGGCGGUGUGGCGCAAAGGGUGCCAAGAGCGGAUAAGGAGUGGGCUUUUCUGGAGGGCACUUAAAGCUAGGGAUCAAUCUGGCCACCACAGGCACGUUCCCUGGCCCUUUACGGGGUGUCCAGCAGCAGGGGCUGGUCACGAAGGAGAAAGCCUGGGAGCAGAAGACGGCGGGGAGGAGAAGAUGAGGACGUCGGGGGACCUGCCAGCGGAGGCUGAAGAAGGCGAAGAAUGGCUCAGGACACCAGGCGUCCUGCACCCGCGCUCCCAGGCUCCUGUUCAACGCUGGGGGAGGUUCUGACAUCCCCAGCGGAUCCAUCCACUGGUGCCGGGGAAGAGAAGAAUGAUGCAAUAAAACCUUAGAUAAAGCCCCCGGGCUGUGCCCUCCUCCAUUGCCAAGCCCAGCUCUGCCUUAGCCCACACCUGGGGUCCGCCCACCGCCCACGCAAAUCUGUCUUGGCAGGAGUUGUUGUUGUCGUUGUCGUUGUUGUAGUGGUGUGUGUCUUUGGCGAGGACAGGGCGAGUUUGUCAGGAGGCAGCUUAGGGAAGUCUCCUGUGGAGACAGAGGAAGUGUUGGUGGCGGAGGCCGUUGUUGCAGGAGCCUUGAGGUAGAUGUUUGCUGCAGCCCUUGUGCAGGAGGAGCAGGUGGCUCUGUGAAGGCUUUGUUGUGUGAGCUUGUGUCAGGGGAGAACAGGGAAGCGUUGUGGUGUUGGAGGCUGUUCUUGGCAGGUAGUUGUUGUUGGACGUGGUCAGGUGCAGGGCAGAGGCUGCAGCUGGCUUUGCCUGGGCGGUGUGGCGCAAAGGGUGCCAAGAGCGGAUAAGGAGUGGGCUUUUCUGGAGGGCACUUAAAGCUAGGGAUCAAUCUGGCCACCACAGGCACGUUCCCUGGCCCUUUACGGGGUGUCCAGCAGCAGGGGCUGGUCACGAAGGAGAAAGCCUGGGAGCAGAAGACGGCGGGGAGGAGAAGAUGAGGACGUCGGGGGACCUGCCAGCGGAGGCUGAAGAAGGCGAAGAAUGGCUCAGGACACCAGGCGUCCUGCACCCGCGCUCCCAGGCUCCUGUUCAACGCUGGGGGAGGUUCUGACAUCCCCAGCGGAUCCAUCCACUGGUGCCAGGGAAGAGAAGAAUGAUGCAAUAAAACCUUAGAUAAAGCCCCCGGGCUGUGCCCUCCUCCAUUGCCAAGCCCAGCUCUGCCUUAGCCCACACCUGGGGUCCGCCCACCGCCCACGCAAAUCUGUCUUGGCAGGAGUUGUUGUUGUUGUUGUUGUAGUGGUGUGUGUCUUUGGCGAGGACAGGGCGAGUUUGUCAGGAGGCAGCUUAGGGAAGUCUCCUGUGGAGACAGAGGAAGUGUUGGUGGCGGAGGCCGUUGUUGCAGGAGCCUUGAGGUAGAUGUUUGCUGCAGCCCUUGUGCAGGAGGAGCAGGUGGCUCUGUGAAGGCUUUGUUGUGUGAGCUUGUGUCAGGGGAGAACAGGGAAGCGUUGUGGUGUUGGAGGCUUCUUGGCAGGUAGUUGUUGUUGGACGUGGUCAGGUGCAGGGCAGAGGCUGCAGCUGGCUUUGCCUGGGCGGUGUGGCGCAAAGGGUGCCAAGAGCGGAUAAGGAGUGGGCUUUUCUGGAGGGCACUUAAAGCUAGGGAUCAAUCUGGCCACCACAGGCACGUUCCCUGGCCCUUUACGGGGUGUCCAGCAGCAGGGGCUGGUCACGAAGGAGAAAGCCUGGGAGCAGAAGACGGCGGGGAGGAGAAGAUGAGGACGUCGGGGGACCUGCCAGCGGAGGCUGAAGAG